rnacentral:rRNA from 1 species
UACGUAGGGUGCGAGCGUUGUCCGGAAUUACUGGGCGUAAAGGGCUCGUAGGCGGCCAACUAAGUCAGACGUGAAAUCCCUCGGCUUAACCGGGGAACUGCGUCUGAUACUGGAUGGCUUGAAUCCGGGAGAGGGAUGCGGAAUUCCAGGUGUAGCGGUGAAAUGCGUAGAUAUCUGGAGGAACACCGGUGGCGAAGGCGACAUCCUGGACCGGUAUUGACGCUGAGUGAGCGAAAGCCAGGGGAGCAAACGGG